rnacentral:rRNA from 1 species
GGAAUAAUUGAGCGUAAAGUGUCUAUAGGUGGCUUUUUAAGUCCGCCAUAGGAUAGGCGAUGGAAACUACCAAACUGGAGUACUGUAGGGGCAGAGUGAAUUUUCGAUGGAGCGGUGAAAUGCGUAGAGAUCGAAAAGAACAUUAACGGCAAGGGCACUAUGCUGGGCCGACACUGACACUAAGAGAUGAAUGCU